rnacentral:rRNA from 1 species
UACGUAGGGUGCAAGCGUUGUCCGGAAUUAUUGGGCGUAAAGAGCUCGUAGGCGGCUUGUCACGUCGAUUGUGAAAGCCCGAGGCUCAACCUCGGGUCUGCAGUCGAUACGGGCAAACUAGAGUAUUGCAGGGGAGACUGGAAUUCCUGGUGUAGCGGUGAAAUGCGCAGAUAUCAGGAGGAACACCGGUGGCGAAGGCGGGUCUCUGGGCAAUAACUGACGCUGAGGAGCGAAAGCGUGGGGAGCGAACAGG